UAUUAGUGACUGCAAUGACUCUAUCAGUCUGUUUCGUAUUUCAGAGACGACGGGGACAAACGCACAGAACUGUAAUUCGCCAACAUGAUUUCACUAUUAAGUGAAUUAAUGAAAAAACAAAAGGCUCCUCGUUCUCCCCGCCCAGCAACCUCUCCCUCGCCGCCAGGGACAGUCAUCACAGCCGCCUCUCUCUCCUUCACCUCUGAAAGUCUCGAAGAACGUCACUGUCAUGUUAGGAGACACAGAAACCAGCCUUAUGACGAACUUCUUUAUUGC